rnacentral:rRNA from 1 species
GACGAACGCUGGCGGCGUGCCUAAUACAUGCAAGUUGAGCGCUGAAGGUUGGUACUUGUACCAACUGGAUGAGCAGCGAACGGGUGAGUAACGCGUGGGGAAUCUGCCUUUGAGCGGGGGACAACAUUUGGAAACGAAUGCUAAUACCGCAUAAAAACUUUAAACACAAGUUUUAAGUUUGAAAGAUGCAAUUGCAUCACUCAAAGAUGAUCCCGCGUUGUAUUAGCUAGUUGGUGAGGUAAAGGCUCACCAAGGCGAUGAUACAUAGCCGACCUGAGAGGGUAUUCGGCCAAUUUGGAACUGGGACCCGCCCCAACCUCCUCGGGAAGGAGCAAGAGGGAAUCUUCGGCAAUGGACGAAAGUCUGACCGAGCAACGCCGCGUGAGUGAAGAAGGUUUUCGGAUCGUAAAACUCUGUUGGUAGAGAAGAACGUUGGUGAGAGUGGAAAGCUCAUCAAGUGACGGUAACUACCCAGAAAGGGACGGCUAACUACGUG